rnacentral:rRNA from 1 species
UACGUAGGUGGCGAGCGUUGUCCGGAAUUACUGGGCGUAAAGAGCGCGUAGGCGGUUAAUUAAGUCAGAUGUGAAAACCCGAGGCUUAACUUCGGGAUUGCAUUUGAAACUGGUUAACUUGAGUACAGGAGAGGUAAGUGGAAUUCCUAGUGUAGCGGUGAAAUGCGUAGAUAUUAGGAGGAACACCAGUGGCGAAGGCGACUUACUGGACUGUAACUGACGCUGAGGCGCGAGAGCGUGGGGAGCAAACAGGAUUAGAUACC